rnacentral:rRNA from 1 species
UACGUAGGGUGCGAGCGUUGUCCGGAAUUACUGGGCGUAAAGAGCUCGUAGGUGGUUUGUCGCGUUGUUCGUGAAAACCGGGGGCUUAACCCUCGGCGUGCGGGCGAUACGGGCAGACUUGAGUACUGCAGGGGAGACUGGAAUUCCUGGUGUAGCGGUGGAAUGCGCAGAUAUCAGGAGGAACACCGGUGGCGAAGGCGGGUCUCUGGGCAGUGACUGACGCUGAGACGCGAAAGCGUGGGGAGCAAACAGG